rnacentral:rRNA from 1 species
ACGAUGGAUACUAGGUGUGGGAGGUUAUUUACCCCUUCUGUGCCGUAGCUAACGCGUUAAGUAUCCCGCCUGGGGACUACGGCCGCAAGGUUAAAACUCAAAGGAAUUGACGGGGGUCCGCACAAGCAGCGGAGCGUGUGGUUUAAUUCGAUGAUACGCGAAGAACCUUACCUGGGCUUGACAUGGUGGUAGUAGUGAAGCGAAAGCGGAACGACCCUUCGGGGAGCCAUCACAGGUGCUGCAUGGCAGUCGUCAGCUCGUGUCGUGAGAUGUUGGGUUAAGUCCCGCAACGAGCGACAACCCUCGUCGCUAGUGAUACGCGUCUACGUGAGACUGCCGGUAUCAAACCGCGCGCAAGGUGGGGAUGACGUCAAGUCAGCAUGGUCUUUAUGUCCAGGGCUACACACACGCUACAAUGGCUGGUACAAUGGGUUGCCAUACCGCGAGGUGGAGCUAAUCCUCAAAGCCGGUCUCAGUUCGGAUUGCAGUCUGCAACUCGACUGCAUGAAGGUGGAGUUGCUAGUAACCGCGCGUCAGCAACUCGUGCGGUGNUGCGUUCCCGGGCCUGUACACACCGCCCGUCACAUCAUGGGAGUCGGCAACACC